GAUCAUGGCUCAGGAUGAACGCUGGCGGCGUGCUUAACACAUGCAAGUCGAACGAAGCACCUUGAUUUGAUUCUUCGGAUGAAGAUCUUGGUGACUUAGUGGCGGACGGGUGAGUAACGCGUGGGUAACCUGCCUCACACAGGGGGAUAACAGUUAGAAAUGACUGCUAAUACCGCAUAACCCGAUAGGAUCGCAUGAUCCAGACGGAAAAGAUUUAUCGGUGUGAGAUGGACCCG
rnacentral:rRNA from 1 species